rnacentral:rRNA from 1 species
AAUCUUUUGGACGUCCCGCUGGCCGGCACGCCUAACACAUGACACGUCGAACGCAGUAGCAAUACUGAGUGGCAAACGGGUGAGUAUAAUGUGGGAAUCUGCCUUUUGGUUUGGAAUAACACGGGGAAACUUGUGCUAAUACCGAAUAAGCCUUUACAGGGAAAGUUUUAAUGCCAAAAGAUGAGCCCGCACUUGAUUAGCUAGUUGGUAAGGUAAAAGCUUACCAAGGCAAUGAUCAAUAGCUAUUCUUAGAGAAAGACCAGCCACAUUGGGACUGAGACGCGGCCCAGACUCCUACGGGAGGCAGCAGUGGGGAAUCUUGCACAAUGGGGGAAACCCUGAUGCAGCGAUGCCGCGUGAGUGAAGAAGGCCUUUGGGUUGUAAAACUCUUUCGUCGGGGAAGAAAAUGACUGUACCCGAAUAAGAAGGUCCGGCUAACUUCGUGCCAGCAGCCGCGGUAAUACGAAGGGACCUAGCGUAGUUCGGAAUUACUGGGCUUAAAGAGCUCGUAGGUGGUUAAAAAAGUUGAUGGUGAAAUCCCAAGGCUCAACCUUGGAACUGCCAUCAAAACUUUUUAGCUAGAGUGUGAUAGAGGUAAGUGGAAUUUCUAGUGUAGAGGUGAAAUUCGUAGAUAUUAGAAAGAACACCAAAUGCGAAGGCAACUUACUGGGUCACUACUGACCCUGAGGAGCGAAAGCAUGGGUAGCGAAGAGGAUUAGAUACCCUCGUAGUCCUGCCGUAAACGAUGUGUGCUAACUUGGAAAUUAUUUUUCA